GAUGAAGAACGUAGCAAAAUGCGAUAAGUAAUGUGAAUUGCAGAAUUCAGUGAAUCAUCGAAUCUUUGAACGCACAUUGCGCCCGCCAGUAUUCUGGCGGGCAUGCCUGUUCGAGCGUCAUUUCAACCCUCAAGCCCUCGGGUUUGGUGUUGGGGAUCGGCGAGCCUUUCUGGCAAGCCGGCCCCGAAAUCUAGUGGCGGUCUCGCUGCAGCCUCCAUUGCGUAGUAGUAAAACCCUCGCAACUGGAACGCGGCGCGGCCAAGCCGUUAAAACCCCAACUUCUGAAUGUUGACCUCGGAUCAGGUAGGAAUACCCGCUGAACUUAAGCAUAUCAAUAAGCGGAGGA
rnacentral:misc_RNA from 1 species